rnacentral:rRNA from 1 species
UGUAAGCGUAUACCAAAGUUGUUGCAGUUAAAACGCUCGUAGUCGGAAUUUGGCAGUUCCGGAUGUGUGCACGUCGUGUGCGCACUUCGCGGGGAUUGCUUUUGUGGUCUUGCGUAGGAUGAGGCACUUUUAUUAGUGAACGUCCUCACGCAACCACUUUUUACUGUGAGAAAAUCAGAGUGCUCAAAGCAGGCAUUUGCCGUGAAUGUAUUAGCAUGGAAUAAUAGAAUAGGACUUGGUUCUAUUUUGUUGGUUUGUUGGGACUGAGUAAUGAUUAAGAGGGACAGUUGGGGGCAUUUGUAUUUCGGUGCUAGAGGUGAAAUUCUUAGAUUACAGAAAGACAAACUGCUGCGAAAGCGUCUGCCAAGGAUGUUUUCAUUGA